rnacentral:lncRNA from 1 species
CCGUUAUAGAAGUUCGGACGAAGUCCGGCUCUUGUAGAAGCUCGGAUGAAAUCUAGAAUGCGGUCGACUACCGUAGAAACUUGGAUGGAGUCUGAUUAUUAUAGAAGUCCUGCUGUUGGAGAAGCUCGGACAUUGAUGAAGUCCGGAAGAAGUUCAGAGUAAAGUUGCUCAUGGCAGGGGGAGUCUGAAAGAGAUUCAGAGGGUAGCCAAUCACUAUAGCAAGUCGGCUGAUAAUGAAGCCCAAAGAGCAUUUGGAGUAGCUCGGU